rnacentral:rRNA from 1 species
AGAGAUGUGUGAUGACGCAUAUCAAUAAGCGGAGGAAAAGAAACUAACAAGGAUUCCCCUAGUAACGGCGAGUGAAGCGGGAAGAGCUCAAAUUUGAAAUCUUCAAGGUUCUACCUUGACGAAUUGUAGUUUAUAGAAGUGUUUUCUGUUAGUGGAGUGGCAAAAGUUCUUUGGAAUAGGACAUCAUAGAGGGUGAGAAUCCCGUAUUUGGUCAUUCCUUCUAGCGUUGUGAUACACUUUCAAAGAGUCGGAUUGUUUGGGAAUGCAGUCCAAAAUGGGUGGUAAAUUUCAUCUAAAGCUAAAUAUUGGCGAGAGACCGAUAGCGAACAAGUACCGUGAGGGAAAGAUGAAAAGAACUUUGAAAAGAGAGUUAAACAGUACGUGAAAUUGUCAAAAGGGAAGCGUUUGACACCAGUGUUGUUUUUCCGAAAAUCAAUUACGAAUGUUUUAUUUUUGAGGAGUUAUGACUUCAUCGGCUUGCUUCUCUCUUUACUGAAACUUUCUUAAUGCACUUUUCGGUUAACAAGUCAACAUCAAUUUCUUUUGUUGUAAAAGGGUACUGAGGAAGGUGGCUUUCUUUUCGGAGAAAGUGUUUAUAGCCUUGUGCCUCUGCAAUCGGAGAGAUUGAGGUCUGCAGCGUAGAUCCUUCGGGGUUAGAUACAGUUUGUGCUAAGUUAUAGCCUUUCAUAGACAACUUGUUGAUUAUGAUUAGUCUUGUAGCUUACUCGCUUAUGCUAUUUUACCUACGCUUAGGAUGUUGAACUCUAUCACACACAG